rnacentral:misc_RNA from 1 species
CUGAACUCGCCACCGUUCUGCAGUCCCGCCGUCGGCUCACUGCUCGUCUCGCUACAUUGCCAUCGUUCACUAUCCUCGUCCUCGCCGUCUACCUCGCCGCUCCUCACGCCCAACAAGUUGUCACGCUUGGCAUGUUUCCUCCAUGCGGCCUCACGCGUUCCUCUCGCUUCAUCUGCUAGUCGUGGGGUAGUGCAGAUCACGUUGUCUGUGAAUCAAUCGAUUGGUGGAGUAAUUUUCUAG